CCUUACCGUACCCUUGACAUGUCCGGAAUCCCGAAGAGAUUUGGGAGUGCUCGCAAGAGAGCCGGAACACAGGUGCUGCAUGGCUGUCGUCAGCUCGUGUCGUGAGAUGUUGGGUUAAGUCCCGCAACGAGCGCAACCCUUGUCAUUAGUUGCCAUCAUUUGGUUGGGCACUCUAAUGAGGACUGCCGGUGACAAACCGGAGGAAGGUGGGGAUGACGUCAAGUCCUCAUGGCCCUUAUGGGUAGGGCUUCACACGUCAUACAAUGGUCGGUACAGAGGGUUGCCAACCCGCGAGGGGGAGCUAAUCCCACAAAGCCGAUCGUAGUCCGGAUCGCAGUCUGCAACUCGACUGCGUGAAGUCGGAAUCGCUAGUAAUCGUGGAUCAGCAUGUCACGGUGAAUACGUUCCCGGGUCUU
rnacentral:rRNA from 1 species